CCUACGGGAGGCAGCAGUGGGGAAUUUUCCGCAAUGGGCGCAAGCCUGACGGAGCAAGACCGCGUGGGGGAGGAAGGUCUGUGGAUUGUAAACCCCUUUUGUCAAGGAAGAACACAAUGACGGUACUUGACGAAUCAGCAUCGGCUAACUCCGUGCCAGCAGCCGCGGUAAUACGGAGGAUGCAAGCGUUAUCCGGAAUGAUUGGGCGUAAAGCGUCCGCAGGUGGUUAUACAAGUCUGCUGUUAAAGUGCGGAGCUUAACUUCGUAAAGGCAGUGGAAACUGUAUGACUAGAGAGUGAUAGGGGCAGAGGGAAUUCCCAGUGUAGCGGUGAAAUGCGUAGAGAUUGGGAAGAACACCGGUGGCGAAAGCGCUCUGCUGGGUCAUAUCUGACACUGAGGGACGAAAGCUAGGGGAGCGAAAGGGAUUAGAUACCCCUGUAGUCCUAGCCGUAAACGAUGGAUACUAGGCGUUGUUCGUAUCGACCCGGACAGUGCCGGAGCUACGACGUAAGUAUCCGCCGUCGGGAGGUACGCGUCGCGAAGAGUAGAAACGUUAAAAGGUAAAGUUAAGUACGGCGUUGAGACGUUGCCGAACGGACGACCGACCGAGGGGAAGGUUAAGGAG
rnacentral:rRNA from 1 species